CCAGGAGGUACUGUUUUCAGAUGAGAAGCAGCAAAAGGAAUAUGCAGACAAUGCGGUUCUGCAGCUUUUCAGAUCUGCAUGGGUUUCAUCAGCCACAAGCGACAGACAAAGGGAAAAAGGAAACAGCCAUGGCAAGUUAAGAAACAUAGCAAUGCAGAAAAAUAAUCUGGUUGCUCCUGAACAACAAGAUGGUAUUGGGUCCCACAACAUUAUCGUGCUGGCAGCCAUGUCUGUAUCUCACAUGAAGGAAAAGCAUUUCAAAACCUGUUACUCAGGAGGGGGAAAGAGAAAGUGAAGAGUUUUGGGAGUAAACAGAUUUCUUCGCUUGGCUGCAGACCAAAAGAGAGUAUACAAAACAGGGCUUACAGGCUAUUAAGAUGAUAAUUGCUUAUAGAACUGCUAAAGCAUGACAUCACUUCAGACUAGUUCACCUGAGAAAUUCAACUUCAGUAAGCCCGAAGAGUGACUGAAAUAAAUUAGGAGAUCUGAAAGAUUCAGAAUUGCAUCAAGCCUAGAUGAGCAAGAGGAAGCGAAUCAGAUAAAUACGUUAAUACACACAUGGUGACGGAUGAGGCAGAUGACAUUUUAUGCUUCUUUAAAUUGACUGAUGAAGAUGAGAAAAAUUAGAAAUAUCUGUGGACAAGUUCAAGAACCUCUUCUAGCACAGACUAAACGGGAAUCUUAAGGAGAGGCUAUCAAGCAUAGGCAUAGUAAGAAGAAAAGUUUCCCUACAAAAAAAAUACAGUGGUGCCUCUGAAAGGUUCAGUGGGACAUAUGAAGCUCUGCAAGGUGAAGUGAGAUCCAGGAACAACAUGGAAGAUCUAACAAGAAGAAUAAAGAUAAGGGCUUUUCAGCAAAGGGAUUUACAUUUGCACAUUAACAUAGCCAUGCUUUGUAAAAAGGGUUUGUGAGAAAUUGUGAUAGAAAAACAAUCUAUGUGGGAAAAUGGCACGAUUCAAUUAAAGCUGGUCUGAUCUGAAAAAGAAACACAUAAAGCUGUAUUAUGACUGAAAGUAUGGCAUUAUGUGUCCUAGGAUCUAAAAGAGGUUUCGAAAUAUUGCAUAGGAAAAAAAAAUAAAAGACCUUAUUAUCAAGGUCAUUUUUUAUUACCAUUUGGCCAGCUUUAGAAAUGAGUAUGGAGGCACGGAGUGUUCUAGUGACUUUUGUCAAUCAGCCUGAAUGUGGAAUCCAGAUGGCAUUUCAUUCAUAAUCAAGUUGUGGCAUUUUGGCUCUAUUCCUGAAUUAUCCAAAGUUAUGACUUUCUGCUCCAUAUCAGCUAGGAAGAAAAACAUCUCCCAAAAAAUGAGUGCAAAUAUGUAAGGAUGAUAAAAUUUACUUUGUUCCAAAUGUUAGCUGCACUGGAAUUCCUGUCUAAGGAAUGUACAGAAAUUGUGCUUGUAUCUAUUGCCAUGUUAACUUCAUUAUAGGGGCAGUCAAUCCAAUAGGCUUUGAAUAAGUCCCUGCAAUGUUUUCCUCCUGAAACAUUUGGAUUAUUUUUAAGAAAAUUCUGAUACGGCUUUUCUUCAGCUUUUCCAUGAACAGCUAAUGGGUUGGUUUCUGUACAUUUGGAAUACAGGCAUCCAGGUGAAUCAGCACCUCUCCCUGUCUGGAGAGGUGGAUUAAUAGAAUUCAGUGCUGUCCACAAAGAUUAAACCAGAUCAUGUGUAGUGACAGCAAAAUAAAUACCAUAUAACAGGAGCUGCAGCAGAUGAGACAUGGCCUAUCUGUCUAGUCAAGCAGGAGAAAAGACACUGCAGCAUCAUGUCAAGGAAGCAAGCUCAAGGCAUCAAUUUAGGGAAAAAAAAAUACCCAACAAGGAGCGGGUGCCUUUUGAAAUGUUGUGUCACUUUGUCUUCAUUUUGCUUUUUGAAUGAGAAUACUUACUCUAAAAAUUCACCUGUUCUAAGAUGAGUUCUGGAAACAAUCUGCUCCACAGUCUAAAACACUAUUUUCUCUAUUCAGCAGAGCACAUAUUUUUUCUUUUUUUUUUUAAUUUUAUAUUCAUUCUAUAGAUUUCCCUGAUUAGUACCCAAAGAAUGACAGUGAAACUAAUCUUCAUCUGCAUUUUAUGAAAUCAUGACAGCUUGAUAUUACUGCAAUGGGACAUUUCACAGGGUACUGUGGGGGCACUGUUUAUACCACUGACACAGAAUAAUGCAGUGUUUUUAGCAGUGCAGAUCAUCAAAUUCAGGUAAUUAUCACUGCCACAUGCUUUCCUGAACAUAACAAUAUUAAACAGCAUAAUUUAAAAUGCUAGCAUGCUUCUGAAUAUGUCUUUUUAAAACAGCAUCUGAUUUUCAGAUUAUUUGCAUGAGAAUUAUGAAAGUAAAGGAAAAGUUCAGUUCCUGGGUUAAAAAAAAAAUAAAGAAAAAUAAACUGUGAGCAGAAGAAUAAUUUUUUGUGUUAUUUUAUUAAAAAUAUAGAAAGAAAAAAAAGGAAAAAAAUCCAUGAGAAGGAUCAGCUUUUCUUCCCAACCAUAUGGUGUGUGAGAGCAUUAGUUAUGGUAAAACAUUACUUAUAUUUAAUGUCUUUUCUCUUUGACUUGAUAGAGAGUCAGUAGAGAAGUUCAAAAACCAUAUAAAAAGAAAAAGAGGACUUUGUAAAAAAUGGUUUAAGGUUUUAGUACUUUAUUUUCUGCUCCCUAUUUGGACUGAACUUCUUCCCUGAAUUUUUCUCAACUUUGUGAAUAAUUUUGAAAUACAUAAAACUGUAUUUUUUUAGAAUUUUAUUAUUACUAGAAAUAAAAUGAACACUACUAUAUCCAAAAUUCUGCAGAAAAAAUGGGGGAAAUAGUAUACUGGGAACUCUUAAAGCAGACGUAUUUUAGCUGUUUCAAUACUGAUUUAAAUGUCUAAGUUUAUGCAUCAAUAAAUGAAAAUCCUCAACAUAAUCUUCCAAAGUUUUAUUCUGCUAAUAUUUAAAUCCAGAUUAAGGAAAUUUGCUGGCAUAAAUAUAACUGGAGUUGCCAUAUGUCGUGUAAGGUAUGCAAUUUCAUAUUUUGUUUAUCUUUUACAUUAACUUUGGAACUUAUUCUGGGUAGACUGGGGAUCACUGGUUAAAAUAUUCUCAGAGAGGAUGAAAAAAGCUCCCACGUGUUUUUAACAAUAAUUUUGAUAACUUUUAUGACCAAAUUUAAAUUUUCUAUGCUUUGUAGCUCUUCAUAGACGGUUUUUCAUGUCUACAUCUAUGCAUAGGUGUGCAUAUUGCUGUUACAGAAUCUCUCUGUGACUGACUCCAGGUUCUUCCAAAAUGAAAUUAUUUGCUUAGCAAAGAUAUCUUAGGAUUUAGUAGUUGCAGUAGGAAAAAAAAAAAAAAUCAUCUUCACCCACAAUGCUUAAGCAUGCUCUGAUGCACAGAAAAUGCAGGAAUUUCUACCAGGGGAAGUUUAGGCUGGAUCUUAGGAAGAGAUUCUUCCCUCAUAGGGUGGUUGGGCACUGGAACAGGCUCCCUGGGGCAGUGGUCACAGAACCAAGCCUGACAGAGUCCAAAGAGUGUUUGGACCAUGGCCUCAGGCACAGGGUGGAUUUGUUGUGAUUGUCCUGUGCAUGGCCAGGGCUUUGAUGAUUCCUCCUUCUCUCCUCUAACUCAGAAUAUUCUAUGAUUCUAUGACAAAAAAGGUCAAAAGGAAAGUGAAAGCUUUUGUUGACAUGAAGAGUCAGCUGGUCUGCAUGGGCAGGAAGAAAACAAUUUACAUGGGCUUUGGUGUGACAGAGAAUUUUAAUCUUUUGGUACAUAAACCCAUCCUGGAUAUCAUGAUCACAAAAAAGGUGUUGCAACUGGGCAUGAAAUCUGGCUCUGAGACAGAUGCCUGGGACAAGCAGACUUUAAAUGUGACAAGGAACAGAGACAAAAGAAGUAGGCUGAAAUUCACCGUGUAAAGGGGUGUUUGAAAAGAGAUGAGAAAAAUGGUUACAACUUGGUUUUGAGCCAUGUAGAUAGUCAGAGCCCAGACCAGCCCCAGUCAGAAUCCUCAUCUGACCCCUGCCAUAAGUCCAGAGCCACAUUUCAGCUUGUUUUUGGGCCCUAGUAGCUGUGCUGGUUUAUUCACCCCUCCUGGAUCACCUUCCUUCUUGCAGCAGCUGAGGUGGAGCUGCAUAAGGAGCUCUCAGAAAUGGUUGUGACCAUCCUUAAAGGACUUAGAGGAAGGUCCAGGCCAUGUGGUUUUCACAAAAAAACACACCCUCAAAAUUAGAUGGUAUUUUUCAGCUUAGUGCUUUGUACCUCAAUAUCCCCACCUACAGAGUACAUUUUCAGUCGUGUUGUGAAUUUAAAUAUAUUCAUGCCUACAAAGCAGACAGAUGGUAUAUUGUUGAGAAUUGCUGAAAA